rnacentral:rRNA from 1 species
AUUGAACGCUGGCGGCAGGCUUAACACAUGCAAGUCGAGCGGGGUGAUGGUGCUUGCACUAUCACUUAGCGGCGGAUGGGUGAGUAAUGCUGAGGAAUCUGCCUAUUAGUGGGGGACAACAUCCCGAAAGGGAUGCUAAUACCGCAUACGUCCUACGGGAGAAAGCAGGGGAUCACUUGUGACCUUGCGCUAAUAGAUGAGCCUAAGUCGGAUUAGCGAGUUGGUGGGGUAAAGGCCUACCAAGGCGACGAUCUGUAGCGGGUCUGAGAGGAUGAUCCGCCACACUGGGACUGAGGCACGGCCCAGACUCCUACGGGAGGCAGCAGUGGGGAAUAUUGGACAAUGGGGGGAACCCUGAUCCAGCCAUGCCGCGUGUGUGAAGAAGGCCUUAUGGUUGUAAAGUACUUUCAGCGGGGAGGAAGGCGGUGAAGUUAAUAGCUUCACCGAUUGACGUUACCCGCAGAAGAAGCACCGGCUAACUCCGUGCCAGCAGCCGCGGUAA